GUGUCAGCAGCCGCGGUAAUACGAACGGUCCAAACGUUAUUCGGAAUCACUGGGCUUAAAGCGUCCGUAGGCGGCUCGGAAAGUAGGGUGUGAAAUCCCACGGCUCAACCGUGGAAUUGCGCUCUAAACUAUCGAGCUAGAGGGAGAUAGAGGUGAGCGGAACUGAUGGUGGAGCGGUGAAAUGCGUUGAUAUCAUCAGGAACACCGGAGGCGAAGGCGGCUCACUGGGUCUUUUCUGACGCUGAGGGACGAAAGCUAGGGGAGCGAACGGGAUUAGAUACCCCGGUAGUCC
rnacentral:rRNA from 1 species